GGCCUUGUGGUCUAGUGGUAAGAUACUCGCUUUGGGUUAACCUGCAUGCGAGUGAUCCCGGGCUCGAACCCCGGCGGGGCCC